GAUGAAGAAUGCAGCGAAAUGCGAUAAGUAAUGUGAAUUGCAGAAUUCAGUGAAUCAUCGAAUCUUUGAACGCACAUUGCGCCCGCUGGUAUUCCGGCGGGCAUGCCUGUUCGAGCGUCAUUUCAACCCUCAAGCUCUCCGGAGUUUGGUGUUGGGGCGCCUGGGGCUUUUCGACCUCAGGGCCCUCAAGUCCAUCGGCGGGACCGCCAGGACACUGAGCGCAGUAGUAUUAUUUCGCUCGGUAGGAUCUUCCACGGCGGGUCGAUCUGGCCGCUAAACCCCCCAAUUCUCACCAAAGGUUGACCUCGGAUCAGGUAGGAAUACCCGCUGAACUUAAGCAUAUCAAUAAGCGGAGGA
rnacentral:misc_RNA from 1 species